rnacentral:rRNA from 1 species
GGAUUAGAUACCCUGGUAGUCCACGCUGUAAACGAUGAUUACUCGGUGCUAGCGAUAUACUGUUAGUGCCUAAGCGAAAGCGAUAAGUAAUCCACCUGGGGAGUACGGUCGCAAGAUUGAAACUCAAAGGAAUUGACGGGGGCCCGCACAAGCGGUGGAGCAUGUGGUUUAAUUCGAUGAUACGCGAGGAACCUUACCUGGGCUUAAAUGUAGAUUGACAGUUCUGGAAACAGAUCUUUCUUCGGACAGUCUACAAGGUGCUGCAUGGUUGUCGUCAGCUCGUGCCG